rnacentral:rRNA from 1 species
UACGUAGGGUGCGAGCGUUAAUCGGAAUUACUGGGCGUAAAGCGUGCGCAGGCGGUUCGUUAAGUUCGUUGUGAAAGCCCCGGGCUCAACCUGGGAACUGCAAUGGAAACUGGCGGGCUUGAAUGCGGCAGAGGGGGGUGGAAUUCCGCGUGUAGCAGUGAAAUGCGUAGAGAUGCGGAGGAACACCGAUGGCGAAGGCAGCCCCCUGGGCCUGCACUGACGCUCAUGCACGAAAGCGUGGGGAGCAAACAGG